rnacentral:misc_RNA from 1 species
CAGCUCUAGCCUUUCUCUUCACCUCCUCCGUCUUAUUAGAUGCUCCCAAUCCAUUAGUUGUAGUACCCAUACCAAACCGUUCUGCUCGAGAAUUACGCUUUUCUUCUUCGGACAAUUGCACUGAAAUCCCAAAACGCUCGGCGCGGCGCAUUUUCCUCUGGACAUCAGAAACCGGUGCACCAUCAUCUACAACCGACGCCUUACCGGAGCCCUUGGAUUCAUCCCUUUCCUUGGAUGACCCGCCAUCAGUUGACGAAGGCGGAACGGAGGCAGGAGUCUGGGCCGAGGAAGAAAUCGUCGGGUCUAGGGUUUGACUAGGGUUUUCUCCAAGCGGAUUCUUGUUAUUGUUAAUGUCAUUUAGUCCUGCAGAUGCUACCGUCGCCAUUGAAGGAGCAGAUUUGAGACCGGAAACCUAAUCGGGAACUGCUUGCGAACCACGAAAGCUGCAAGGGAAAUUGCCGCGUGAAAG